UACAGAGGUCCCAAGCGUUGUUCGGAUUCACUGGGCGUAAAGGGCGCGUAGGCGGUUGGGUAAGUCUGAUGUGAAAUCUCACAGCUUAACUGUGAAACUGCAUUGGAUACUAUCCGGCUAGAGGAAUGGAGGGGAGACUGGAAUACUUGGUGUAGCAGUGAAAUGCGUAGAUAUCAAGUGGAACACCAGUGGCGAAGGCGAGUCUCUGGACAUUUCCUGACGCUGAGGCACGAAAGCCAGGGGAGCAAACGGG
rnacentral:rRNA from 1 species